GUCAGUAGAAAGGUUCCCGUUAGAGGGGUC
rnacentral:piRNA from 1 species